UACGGGGGGGGCAAGCGUUGUCCGGAAUUACUGGGCGUAAAGGGCGUGUAGGCGGCCAAUUAAGUCCGACGUGAAAUCCCCAGGCUUAACCUGGGAACUGCGUCGGAUACUGGAUGGCUUGAAUCCGGGAGAGGGAUGCAGAAUUCCAGGUGUAGCGGUGAAAUGCGUAGAUAUCUGGAGGAAUACCGGUGGCGAAGGCGGCAUCCUGGACCGGCAUUGACGCUGAAGCGCGAAAGCUAGGGGAGCAAACGGG
rnacentral:rRNA from 1 species